AAAAAAAAACCCAGCCACCCCGAAUCAGACUCAGCCCACUCCCGUGCGUGCUGGAUAGGGUUCCCCGCCACCCUCACCGGUCGCCGUCGCCGCCCUCACCGGUCGCCGCCGCCGUCGGUUUCCCCUACAUGGCCGGAGGAUAGGCCAUCCCGCCGGUCCAUUCCCGCCCCACCGUGAGGGAGAAGACCGACCAGUUGCGCCUCCCCGCCGGUCGCCGCCCGCCACCCUAAGGAUCAAGGCCGGCCGCGCCGGUCCCCGUCGGUCGCUGCUCCGGAUCCAGGCCGCCCACCGCCCCGCCCCCAUCAGCCCGGUCUAUUUCCCACCGGAUCCCAUCUUCGCCGCUGUCCGACGCGCCUUCUUCAAGGAGCUGCGACCCCAUGUCUCAGAGGAGCUAGCCCCGACGCCAUUGAUGCCCGAGCGACGCUCCCAAGCUAUGACGUACCCCGCCGCCAGGAGGCCAGGAGGCCUCCAUGGAGGCCCGUCCCGAGCUCGCCUCGCUGCUCCUCCGGUGACCCUCGCGAGCGGCGCGACCGGAUGGGGCACGAACCCUAGCGGCGCGGUCGGAUGGGUAACGGACCCUAGCGGCGCGGCCGGAUGGGGCACGGGCGCCAGCGGUGGAGCCGGUUGGGGUGCGGCGGCCAACAGGCAUGAGAUUCAAUCGUGAACGAUGAUUAAUCGGGUCAUUAAUGCCAAUCGAUGCUCCGGGAAGCUGGUCCUUUCCUACUCUGCUCAGUUUCGCAAACCACAGUCCAAAAGCAAGGUGAUGGGUGUUGCUUAGGUUCCAGCUCUGUUUGGUUUAAGAUUCUCUCCAGGUUGGAAUUCUAGCGACGUACUGCUUGGUAUCUUUGGUUCUUCCAGUUGAUCCAACGGCUAAUGGACAACCCAGACUGGCCGCUGCUCCUUUCCCAAUCUCCUCACUCUUGCAAACCAAUCUCCAGCAGCGAUGGGUGAUGUUCAGGUGUUCUGUUGGAUUAGAAAGUUUAGGAAUUAACCAUUUGGAAGAUUCUAAUGCUUGGAUGCUCGAUACAAGGUCGAAUUCAAGCUAUGUACUGCUGGUUUCCUUUCUUUCCUCCACGGCGACCUGAUACGGCCCAUACGGGCUGCAAGGAGGCUCCAGAGUUACCACUACCAUUGGUCCUCCCUGCCAUUUGCUGAAUUAUGCUUCAUCGCAUAUUAGCCAGAAUUCGUGGCUGUUGUUCUAUAAUCGUAAUCGAUCAAGCCACUUCCCAGUGCUUAUGUAAUCUUUGUACUGGUAGGAACUAGGAAUUUGGAAAAACAAAUCAGUACUACUAAUUUACCGUGGAGCCGUGACAACAUCGUGCUUUGUUUAUUCACUUUUAAAAGUUAAACUUAAACUGGCAAAGUGGUUACUGUUUUAUUUCAUCCCUGUUAGUCAAAGCUCAUGUAAUGUGACUUGCCAAGUUUCUGUUGAAUGUAUUGUUUAAAAAGAAAGAUCCGAAGGACUGAUUAUUUGGCAUCAAAUUAAGUACUGUCCUGCAUGAACUUUGUCAUGUUUACCCUCUUCUAUAUUUUUUAUAUGCUUUACCAACUAUAUCUCCUGAUGUUAUAAGUAUUACCUUUGUAGGCUGAUACUAUUACAGUGAAGACAUAGAACAUGAAUUAUAGAAGUUAUUGAGCAAGGAGUGAGGCAGAUUUUGCAGAAAGAAACACCUAACAUCCAACAGCUGACAGCAUCAUAAGCAUUGUUUCCCCUUACCAAUAACGGUGCCAUGUAAAGGGACUAGCUACACCUACUGAUUAAUAAUACAAAGAUUAAGAUUCCCUGGGAGUUGGGAUUGCAUCUUUAUUUUGCGGCCACUUCAGUUCUUUGCUUUGAUAUGGCAGGAUUGGUCAUCUGAUAACCCUAAAAGGACAAUGCUGCAAGGAGAAACAUCAGUAUGAGCUGCAAGGACAAGAUGCCCACCCAGCCUGUGCUGGCAGCAACCUGACUUCGUUGUCAACAACUUGAUGAGGACCAAAUCGACUUCAGAUUAUUUCUAGAAGAUGCUAUAUACAAAUCCUUUCUCUGCAAUUUUUUGCCUCACACAACUUUCACCCUUUUCAAGCCAACGCCGUCGGCCAGUACAACCACUUCCUCCUCCUUCAUUUAUCUCUCUCUUGCUGACUGCCUUCCUGCUUCCUUCAGGCAGAUUCAUGAUGCACACAUGAGCAAAGUCAAAUUUAAUCGCACCCAGAAGAUGGCGGCAAGCACAUUUGGCUGCCGGGACAAGAAAUAGUUUAUCCGUCACUGCCAUUUGCAUUAUCCAUGCCUGUUGAUGUGGUUGAUACUUACAGCAAGUACUCGCUCAUCCUCUCACUGAAUCUAUAGUUUUAUCUUCCUAGCUGUUUAUGGCUGAAACUGGGGAUUACGUAUUACAAGCUCGCAGUUAUGUACUGCUGGAGAAGGAAAAAUUAGUCAGUGGCUGCUGUUGAUGCUCAUGCCCUUUUGCCGGAAAUAGUAACAACAACAGCAGUCACCUUGGGUAAUUUCUCUUACCCAAUAUAUUUACAGUUGUCUCUCUAAGCUAUUUAUGUGUCAAAUUCAGGACGAGGCAAGGUAGACCUCAGAACUAUGUAUGACGUUUCUUUACUGAUGCAGUUUAUGGCUGAAACUGGGGAUUACGUAUUACAAGCGUGCCUCACAGUUAUGUACUGCUGGAGAAGGAAUAAUUAGUCAGUGGCUGCUGUUGAUGGUCAUGCCCUUUUGCCGGAAAUAGUAACAACAGCAACAGUCACCUUGGUAAUUUCUCCUACCCAAUAUAUUUACAAUUGUCUCUCUAAGCUAUUUAUGGGUCAAAUUCAGGACGAGGCAAGGCAGCCUCAGAACUAUGUAUGACGUUUCUUUACUGAUGGUGUGUUGGAAUCUUUUUUAUGAAUGAACUAGAUUUCUAUGCAGCAAAAACUAUAAUAUACUGAAUCCACCAAUGAGAGUAACUACAACACGUGUUACUGGACUUCCCCUAUUAGUAAAUCCGUUUGCAUGUUAUAAUUUAUAGACUGGACUUGCUGUUGUGAGGAGUUCACACAUCCAUUGGAAUAGUUUUCCCGCUAGAGAGUCCUUGCCAAAUCUGCAUCAGAAGAUUGGAUGUUUGUUUUUUCUGCCAUGCCUAUUUUCUUGCUAUAUAUCUCAUGCGUCUUUCUAUCUAUCUUUACAAGAUUCUGAAUAUCUGCUUUUAAAAUUUGUAUCAUUUGCUGCAAACACUUUAAUUCUUCUUUCCCAUUUUGUAGAUUUGCUUCAGAUCACGGAAGCUUGGGUUGAUGGAGUGCUUGUCUUUAGUUUUUGUUUUGACUUUGUGAAACUUGCUACCUAUGAUGAAACUGUGUAAUAUUGAUGAAACUAUGUAUAUGUAUGGAUGAAACUUGCUACUAUUGGUAACAUGUGUUGGAUAUGUGUUCGAUAUAUAUGUGUUCAUGACUAUUGGUAAUAUGUGUUGAAUAUGCUAUAUUGGUCA